rnacentral:rRNA from 1 species
GAUGAACGCUGGCGGCGUGCCUAAUACAUGCAAGUCGAGCGAACAGACGAGGAGCUUGCUCCUCUGACGUUAGCGGCGGACGGGUGAGUAACACGUGGAUAACCUACCUAUAAGACUGGGAUAACUUCGGGAAACCGUAGCUAAUACCGGAUAAUAUAUUCAACCGCAUGGUUCAAUAGUGAAAGACGGUUUUGCUGUCACUUAUAGAUGGAUCCGCGCCGCAUUAGCUAGUUGGUAAGGUAACGGCUUACCAAGGCGACGAUGCGUAGCCGACCUGAGAGGGUGAUCGGCCACACUGGAAGUGAGACACGGUGCAGACUCCUAAGGGAGGCAGCAGUAGGGAAUCUUCCGCAAUGGGCGAAAGCAUGACGGAGCAACGCCGCGUGAGUGAUGAAGGUCUUCGGAUCGUAAAACUCUGUUAUUAGGGAAGAACAAAUGUGUAAGUAACUAUGCACGUCUUGACGGUACCUAAUCAGAAAGCCACGGCUAACUACGUG